rnacentral:rRNA from 1 species
UGGGGAAUUUUGGACAAUGGGGGCAACCCUGAUCCAGCCAUGCCGCGUGUGCGAAGAAGGCCUUCGGGUUGUAAAGCACUUUUGGCGGGAAAGAAAAGGCGCUGGCCAAUACCUGGCGCCGAUGACGGUACCCGCAGAAUAAGCACCGGCUAACUACGUGCCAGCAGCCGCGGUAAUACGUAGGGUGCGAGCGUUAAUCGGAAUUACUGGGCGUAAAGCGUGCGCAGGCGGCUUUGUAAGACAGAUGUGAAAUCCCCGGGCUCAACCGGGGAACUGCAUUUGUGACUGCAAGGCUAGAGUGCGUCAGAGGGAGGUGGAAUUCCGCGUGUAGCAGUGAAAUGCGUAGAGAUGCGGAGGAACACCGAUGGCGAAGGCAGCCUCCUGGGAUGACACUGACGCUCAUGCACGAAAGCGUGGGGAGCAAACA